GGAGGGGGUAGUGGCCCCGCCCCUUGCCUGCGGGGACGGGCCGCGAGCGAGCGCGCGCGCGGCAUGGAGGGCUCGGUGUCCAGCGUGGAGCUCUGUAACCUGGCCUACGCGGGGCAGCUGGAGGAGCUGCAGGACCGGCUGAGGGAGGACCGCGGCCUGGCCACCCGCACCGACCAGGAUCACCGAACAGCGCUGCACUGGGCAUGCUCCGCGGGACACACGGACAUCGUGCAUUUCUUGUUAGGCCUGGGCGUGCCUGUCAAUGACCAGGAUGAUUCUGGCUGGACUCCUCUCCAUAUUGCAGCUUCAGCAGGCCGUGAUGAAAUUGUGAAAGCUCUGAUUGGAAAAGGUGCUCAGGUGAAUGUUGUUAAUCAAAAUGGCUGCACACCUCUGCAUUAUGCAGCCUCCAGAAAUAGACAAGAGAUUGCAGAUAUGCUGUUAGAGAAUAGAGCUGAUCCUGAUGCCACGGACCACUUAGAAUCCACUCCAUUACACAGAGCAGCAGCCAAAGGAAAUCUAAAAAUGAUACAGAUCCUGCUGCAGUAUAAAGCGUCUGUGAAUAUACAGGACUCUGAAGGGAACACACCUCUCCAUUUAGCCUGCGAUGAAGAGAGAGUGGAUGAGGCAAAGCUGUUGGUGUCCCAUGGUGCAAGUAUUUACAUUGAGAAUAAAGAAGAAAAGACCCCACUGAAAGUGUCAAAAGGUGGUCUGGGAACUGUACUUAAAAGAUUGGUGGAAGGGUAGCAGUAUUGGAUGAGUUAUGACUUGAAUUCCAUUCCUGAUGCAUACAUUUAAGACUAUUACCUUAAUAUUUUGAUAGCUUAAUGGUGAUGGCUUCAAUGCUGUUAUAAUGUGCACAUAUAAUGUAUGUAGUGGUGUAUAUCCAUACCCUUCAAUUGUACUGCCAAGUACACUUCUUCUAAUUGCCUGUUAAUUAAACCAGUGAGCACUUUUAAAGUAUUUUUAGUAUCCUGCAGUCUUGUUUCAUGUGAAAUUAUUGUUACUGUUAUAUGUUGGAAUUGGAAGAAACCUGUUAGGUUCUUUUCUGUUUUACAGGGCCUGGUGUGGGGUUGUUUCUUUAUAGUGUAUUGUGUUCAGACAUGCUGCUUGAGUCAUUUAAAAUUAGGUUUGCUUUGGACGCCCAUUCCACAGUCUAAUAUUACAUUUCGUUACAGCUGGCCAGAAAAUGAAAUUGAAAUUCUGUUUAAAAACAAAACAAAAAAACUUCUGUAGCAGGAAUGUUGUAGGUGUUUCCAAAAUGAAAUAUGCUUCUUGGAAUCCCAGGCUGCCUACCCAGAUGAGUUACCGAGGAGCUGGGGAUCCCAGGGCAUAUAGGCUGCUGGCUUCUCAGCAGCCCACCUGAUUUUGGGAGCUCCGGAAGCCAAAUUUCAAAGUCAGUUUGCCUGCCAGGCUGCUGUGGAGCCUGCCGGGCAAACACAGAAAACACAGUCGUCAGAAAACAGUUCUCAAAAAAAAAAAAAAAUUCCAUUAGAAAAUUUCCAAUCAGUUCUGCAUCUUGUAAAGGAACUGGCGUUUUUUUCCUUUUUUCUUCAUAUUACAUAUUUUGGUUUUUUCAGUUUAAUCCAAUUCUUAUUUCACUUCAGACCACUCUAAACUAUUCCUCUCCCUCCUUGUUAUCUAAACUACUGUUCAACUACUUCUAGAGGUUAAUUCUAUUUGCCACCCCUUUCAUUCGUCAAACCCCCUUUUGGCAUAGCUAGGAAUACUUCACUCUCAAUACAUCCUUAUUGCCUGGUCUGUCUGGCCCUCUAGCCUGUGAUGUUCCUUUCAGUUUGUCAAACGCUUCCUGGUAAUGAGAUGCUCAAACUGUGUCUGGUAAUGUACAUGCAGACUCGCUAGUGCCCCUGCAGAGACACUGUCAUCUAAUUACGUUGCUUUCUGCUGGCCCAGUAUGGCUCACUGCGAGCUCCCAUCUAAUUUUACUAUCUGCUAUCAUCUUGUGCCUUUGUUUAAUAUCCCAGCUUUUAAGUGGGUGUUUUGCCCAUUGAAUAUCUGUGUUCUGGAUUUUUUUUCCUCAGAUGUACUAGCUUCAAUCUCAUUGAAUUUCCUUUUCUUUUUACUUGGUUAGUUCUCUCCAUUUAUCUUCUGUCAGUGCUGGUGGUGUGGUGCAUCCCACUGUGUAAUAUUCUCUCUGACUUUAAUGUGCUGUUCACCUUUUUAAUAUCAAUAGUCCAGGCACCCUUUAUUUAGCAGCAGCAACUUCUGCUUCCUUAGUUAUAGAAAGAUAAAAUUGUAGUGUGACUGAAAGACGUGUUCAUGGGCAGGGACUGGUUUUUGUACGAAUAGCAUCGUAGGUGAUCAUUGUAACAAAAGUUCCAAGCAGUGCCCUGAGGUUGCAUCCCUGUAGUGAGAGUUAUCACUUUACUUAGCUUUCUUUGAAUUUUCCUGGCUGUGAUUACAUGGAUGUAAAGGGCCUUCCAGUAGAAGCUCCUUCUAGUCUCAUGAACACUUACCAAAUAAAACUGGUCUUUCUGGAAACCAGUUGUUCUGGAAAGUCCUCCUCUUUCCAGGAGGACCACAGCAAUGCACAUUCAUAAGUUGGGAGCUGAACUCUUCUGGAAUAGGAACACUUCUCAGAGGUCAAACUGUCACCAUUCCACUCAUUCCUUGUCUCUCUUGUUUGGGGGGAAGAACGGCCUCAGACUUAGCUGUGAGCUAGCUUUGAUUCAGAUGAAAAGAAGCUUUCAUGGUAAGACAAUUUCCAGUAAAAUCAUAUUCCUAAAUGUGAACUUUCAGAGUAGUGGGAGAGUAGCGUAUCCUCCUCACAUUCUCCUUUCUUGGGGAGUCUGAGUUGAAUAAAGUUAUAUUCAUAGGCUAUGAAUAGAUAGUACUUUUUACUGUGAAUGGAUUCCAUGCUGUUCCCUUGCCCUUCGGACCAUUCUUUGUCAGAGGAGUAAACCAAUGAAGUGAUGCAGUCCUGUGGCUUGUCUGCUAACCAAGCAUUUGAUGGCUUCCUCCUUGCCUUGACACUGACCCAUGUCUUACAUUUGUGCUGAUGAACACAAAAGCUUUUUAUGUGGCCAUUACAUUCAGUUUGUUGUCAUCCCCGAACAGAGCUGGCAUUGCCCCUGCACCGCUUUAGGAAGUGUAUGAUUAACAUAUAAUUCACUGAUGGCAAAAGCACCUUAGUGUCAGGGAAGUAUAGAAUUGAGAACACAGGACUUAGCAGCAAAGAACUGUUUAACAGGUGACAGUGAGACUUCUUAGAGACACUCCCCUCUUCCCCCCCCCCCCACAGUUUUUGGUGUUUUUUUCGUUUGGGCGGGAUUAGAUUGCUUAGUUAACAAAAUUAUGUAGUUAACAAUAUAAUAAAGUUUUGUAACGGCAAAUUUUAUUAAACUUAUAUGUAACAAAAGAAUCUGUAUCAUUAGCUAAAUCACUUAUGCACAUAAGUCAUAUAAAAGAGCAAAUCAGUAAGCUGAAAUAUUGCCAGAGCUGAGAUGUGGGGGGGAGAGACUGCAUGUAAAUAAAAUCAGGCUAUCCUUCAGUUACAAGGAAAAGUUACAAAACCAGAUAAUAAAACUUCCACAAUAUGACUGCUUCUGAAUAAGGGACUAAAGUGAUGCAGUUUCCUACCAACAAUUGUACGGCAAACCAGAAAAUUGUAUCUGAACACUUUAUACAAAGUGAUCUCCACACUAGAAAAUAAAAUGCACUUUUAAAUUUUCUCAGGAGAGAGUGGCAGGGUCCAAGCAAAACUUGCUCUUUAAUAAUAAGCUGUUGACAUGCAAAAUUGAUUGAGAGAGAAACCAGUGAUUUUGGCUAAGAUGCUUUUCAACCUGCAUCUCUUAAAUGCUAAAUUCCAGGAACUUCCAGAAGUAAGGACUAUAACCUCUGUUCUUAUGUCCUAACCCCUGUGUUGUAUAAUAUUACUGAAAAGGGUUAUGAUGGAGAGAAAUAUAGACUCAAACUAAAACAGAAUGAUUAUGUAUUCUAAACCAUUGUGUAGGUUUUGGUGAUGAUAGAGUUAAGUAUUAAAAUGUCCAAGGUUUGAGCUUUCAGAUCAGUAAUCUUUGGUUUGGGGUUUAUGUAAAUAACUAAGUCUGAUAAGCAUCUACAAGUACCUUGUUGCAAGGAGUGAAAUUCUACUCUAAUUCUCCUAAAACUGUUGUAGCGAGAGGAGUGAAGCCAGCGUGUCAUCAAAACUGUGCAGCUCCUAUGAGGUGAUGGGUUACAGAAGGGAACAGAGACAGUAGCUUUAUAUUGCUUUGUCCCUGGCAAUCCAGUAUUUCCAGCAAGUGCUUAGUGCUGCUCAUUGCAACAACUCACCUUCCAUGCCCUCAAAACCCCUGCGUGGGGACAGGGGUGAAAGUAGAGAGCCAAGUGAUGCAUGACUUGUGCAUCAGCCAUGGUACUAGGGGAGAGGCGAGUACUACUGCAAUCCUGAGCUGUAAAGGGGUGGGGAUGGAAUUCUACAUGGCUACUUGGGAUCUUUUCAGGUCAAAGACGUUGCUACACUCCUCUCUGUCAGCCUAUGAAACCUGCUUUCGCCAGAAGAUAAUGGCUCGGAGACGUCGUGUGACUUUUUAUAUGGAGCUUCCCUAGCGUGACGAAGUGGGAAUUUUCUGUAAUAGUUGUAUGAAUCCUAGGCAUGCCUCAGUUUCCCUCUGUACAUUGCAUUGCUACUCAGUAGAUGUACUGAGCAGGGUAACCCUGCUUUGGAACAAUGCAGGAGUUAUGUUGUGAGGCAGGGAAUGAAUAGUCACUUUAAAAAAAAAUAAAAAUAAAAAAAGUCUUGACCUGACCCAAAUCGACAGCGGGACUGGAAGAAGGGGGCUUUUGGAGGGACUCGAGUGGCCGGACCAGAGGAGACAAAAACGGGCCAGAGAGGGCUCAUCAGGGCACUGGUUUGACUAGGAUAGACCAUUGCUUAACUGCUGCCUCUGUGUGCUAACCUAAGGACUUUCAGAUUCUGUGUGCCAGGUGAUGAUAAACUGUUACCUUGUUUGAAAGGCUGCCUGUGUUGCUGUGAGCAUUCUGUCCUGAAGGGGCCGGCACGAGCCUCCCACAGGACUCUUGACUUGGUUGGAUUCGCUGCAGGGAGGCAAGGAGAGAGACAGGGAUUGCUGGUGCUGAGUCAUGGAGGCCUUGGACCUGCCCGUUUGGAAUGGAAGGGCCCAUUAAAGGGGUCACUCCCUGGAGACUGAUUAGUCUGGGGCAUAGACCAGACCCUGUGACUCCAUGGCACAUCAUAACAUUCCCCCAUCUCCCCCGAGAGGAUAGUUGGGGGAGUUCAAGAAAAAGAGUCUACUGCAUCAGUGCAAAGUUCUGUAAAAUAGCCUCCACCACUCAUGCAGCUCUUCAUGGGUUUCUGUGCUGUACAAACAUGAUUAUUUUUUUAUUUAAUUUGCCAAGAUGUUCACUGGAAAGCAAAAGCACAGUUAUAAUCCUACAUCAUAAUAACCCAUGUUUGAAGCCAGCUCAGCUGCAAUCAUAUCUGGGUGCAUUUCAAAAUGGUAAGAAACAUAUCAACCUCCUUUAGUAAAAAUACACCUAAGUAAACUUACUUUUGUCUGAAAAGCCUCCCCCACUUGCCCUCCCCCACAGUCAAUCUAGCUUUCUAAUGAGGUGCAUUAGAAAAUUUUGUGUUAGGAAGUUAGCUUUUUAUAUUCACUGAGAACUGCUGUCGCGCUCUUUAUUUGCAAUUGGUUUUACGUAGGCUGCAGAUCCCAUUCAUGUUCAGCAAAUGUAUGACUAGUAGUAGUUCCAUGAAUAUUCAAAUGACCUGUAUUAUUGCAGAAAUCAUAGUAACCUCUUUGCCUUGUAACUUAGCUUACUAAAUUAUGUUAAGGAAAAAAAGCAAAGAAAUCAGGUGAAGAAAACCAAGAAGAGAUGUUAAUUUGUACGAUUACACAAUAUGCAUAUAAAAAUGAAGGCCGUGGUAUUUUAUAGUGCCAGAGGGCAGUACAUAGUUUUUUAAAAUGUCCAUAUCAAACCUGAAGACAUGAGAAAAUCAGGUUUAAAAAAAAAUGUAGCUACAAACAGGGUCACUGAUAAAAUCACUUGUAUUUUGCAUGAUAGGAGGCGCAAAAUGCUACAUAGGGUUUGCCUAUUACAGUGGAAACAUUUUUACUAAUAAAGUUUAUAGUGUUGUUAGCUAGGUAGAGGGCUCCCUCUGUCUGGUAAUUCACUUGAAAUAUUUUGUUAGCAAACAUUUAAUCCAUGAGCAGACUGCCUCAUUACUUUUUUUUCCCCAGUGAAAUUGUUUAGUACUGUAGUUUUUUGUCGUACUCACAAGUCAACUUCAAUAAGAUUACUGAAAAUUUCAGGUAACCUAAUAACGAUCACGGAAUUUAAGGACCCAAACCUGCAGUCUUUGCUCAGGCAAAAUAUCCAUUAAAAUUAAUGGGACUUUUUCCUGCAGAGACAGCUCUGAGUAAUGACUUCAGAUUUGGCCCAGACAUUUUAGAUAUUUGGGCUUGGGUACCCGCUAGAGUGAAAUCCUGGCACUGUUGACUUCACUGGAGAUUUUGCCAUUGACUUCAGCAAGUUCAGGAUUUCACCCCUAUCAUCUAGUCCAAUCAAUUUUCAACUGAGGCAACAAAACUGAAAAACAUGGCCGAGUACAUUGUACGAUGGCAUGUGGAAUUUAAGUGUCUGUGUGUAUAGAGAGAACUCACUAGAGUACAGCAAAGUGGUAGAUGCGGAAUUUUAUAAAUGUUAGUUGGCCAAAACUGAACCCUCUUUUAUAGCACAGAUCAUAAUUAGCACCUCAUCAGUCUGAAUUUCUGAGUUUGCCUCAAAUGUUGAUACCCUCUUGUUUUGGUUAAUGAGCCAUUCAUACAGACUUUGAGCAUCAGUGAUAAUUGAACCCAGGAACUUCAGCAACAUUCCUACCAAAGUACUUCUUUAGUUAAAGGUGUAACUGCGUUAGCUGCCAGUGAGAGGCAGGCUGUUACUGUUGCUGGGGAUGGCUACUAGAGGCAGAUAUGAACACAUGCUCUAAGAGUCUGCUCCUGCACCUGUUGAAGUCAAUGGCCAAACUCCCAUUGAUUUCCAAGGUGCGGGAUCAGCUCCUUAGAUAUUGUAAUGUAUUUGCUAAGACAGUCGCCCUGUGUCAUUCUCAGCACAUGCAAUACUUCAGUUGGCUGGCAAUGACUGUUUUCUUUCAGAAAAGAGACUCCUAUGUUUACAAGCCAUCACAAACUUCACCAGCAGCCAAUAAGAAAGCUCCAAUGUUGUCUGUCUUUCCAAACCCAUUUAAUAAUUAAUAUUCUCAAAUGGGUUGGAUAAAUGGAGACAUUAGCUAUGCUGUCAUUCAUAUUUGGUACACAGUCAUAGCUAGAUAGUUAAUAAGAGCAAUAACAAAAUUGAAAAAUGAGGCCAUCAUAUGCGUACUUCUUGGAUAGUUGAGGGCAUGACCUUCAAACUCCCACCUUGUGAUUAAUACCACUAAUGCAGGUGUGUGGGUUAUAACCACACUACUUCCCGCAUUAAUUCAAUACCAACAUUUUUGAGGAUGGGGUCCGUAGCGGAUAAGGAAAUUGCAAUAUAAUUUUUAGGCUCUUGCUUGUGUCUCCACUCCUUGCAUCUCAUCGUUUUCAGGCAUUCCAGAGGCAGCAGUUUCCGCAGCAGUAGAGUAUUCAUUGGCUGCAUUAGCUUCUCUGCUUGGUGUAGCUGUGGCAACAGACUCAUUUUCUUGGGAGGAAGACGGAGGCAGAGAGGUUAAAUGACUUUCCCAAAGCCACACAAGGCCCGGUUGAGUUGAGAACUGAGGACCUCCUGACCACCAACCCCAUUCUUAUUCCAAAACAGCCUACCUUUAAAAAAUGUAAACUAUUUUUGUCAUUCUGAUUAUGUUGUAUGUAAAGCACAUUUUAUUCCAGUCAUAUGAUUAACUCACGUGUUGCAGUCAAGUCAACUUCACAGCUGCUGUUUCCAAGGCUGUUAGUAGCUGUGCACCGGUAGUAUCCAGUUUCAAAGGUGGUGAGAUUACCAAUAAUCAAAAGCCCAGUUUUUGUAUCUGUGACAAAUGGAAAACAUAUAUGUACAUGCAUGUUUAUAUACUAUAUGGGUAAUUACUUGUAUUUAUUGAAUAAAAAUAAUAUGGAUUAUUACAA